rnacentral:rRNA from 1 species
GCCUGCCCAGUGACAAUUUGUUUAACGGCCGCGGUAUUCUGACCGUGCGAAGGUAGCGUAAUCACUUGUCUUUUAAAUAGAGACUAGUAUGAAUGGCAUCACGAGGACUUAACUGUCUCCCCCCUCCAAUCAGUGAAACUGAUCUUCACGUACAAAAGCGUGAAUAAACCCAUAAGACGAGAAGACCCUAUGGAGCUUAAAACCAAAAACCACCUAUUUAACCUAUUACUCUAAUGUAUUACUAAAAUAAUAGGCCUAGUUUAGGUUUUCAGUUGGGGUGAUUGUGGAGAAAAAUUAAUCCUCCAUGUAGACUUAAGCUUUGAGCGACCGCUCUAUGCAUUAGCAAGCCUAACUUUACUUGAUCCAAUAUUUUUGAUCAACGGAACAAGUUACCCUAGGGAUAACAGCGCAAUCCAUUUCAAGAGUUCAUAUCGACAAAUGGGUUUACGACCUCGAUGUUGGAUUAGGACAUCCAAGUGGUGCAGCCGCUACUAAGGGUUCGUUUGUUCAACGAUUAAAGUCCUACGUGAUCU